UACGUAGGGUGCGAGCGUUGUCCGGAAUUAUUGGGCGUAAAGGGCUCGUAGGCGGUUUGUCGCGUCGGGAGUGAAAACACGGGGCUUAACCCCGUGCCUGCUUCCGAUACGGGCAGACUAGAGGUAUGCAGGGGAGAACGGAAUUCCUGGUGUAGCGGUGAAAUGCGCAGAUAUCAGGAGGAACACCGGUGGCGAAGGCGGUUCUCUGGGCAUUACCUGAUGCUGAGGAGCGAAAGUGUGGGGAGCGAACAGG
rnacentral:rRNA from 1 species